rnacentral:rRNA from 1 species
GGGGCGAGCGUUGUCCGGAAUUACUGGGCGUAAAGGGCGCGUAGGGCUGCUUAAGUCAGAGGUGAAAACUGCCGGCUCAACCGGCRNCCUGCCUUUGAAACUGAGCAGCUUGAGGGCAGGAGAGGGGAGUGGAAUUCCCAGUGUAGCGGUGAAAUGCGUAGAUAUUGGGAGGAACACCAGUGGCGAAGGCGGCUCUCUGGCCUGUUGCUGACGCUGAGGCGCGAAAGUGGGGGAGCAAACGGGAUUAGAUACCCCGGUAGUCCACGCCGUAAACGAUGGGUGCUAGGUGUAGGAGGUAUCGACCCCUUCUGUGCCGUAGUUAACACAAUAAGCACCCCGCCUGGGGAGUACGGCCGCAAGUUGAAACUCAAAGGAAUUGACGGGGGCCCGCACAAGCGUGGAGCAUGUGGUUUAAUUCGACGCAACGSAAGAACCUUACCAGGGCUUGACAUCCCCUGACCGCCUAUGAAAGUAGGUUUUCUAUCUUCGGGUAGACAGGGAGACAGGUGGUGCAUGGUUGUCGUCAGCUCGUGUCGUGAGAUGUUGGGUUAAGUCCCGCAACGAGCGCAACCCCUACGUUUAGUUGCUAACGUGUAAGGCGAGCACUCUAGACGAACUGCGUUGACAAACGGAGGAGGUGGGGAUGACGUCAAAUCAUCAUGCCCYUAUGUCUGGGCACACA